rnacentral:rRNA from 1 species
UACGGAAGGCAGCAGUGGGGAAUAUUGCACAAUGGGCGCAAGCCUGAUGCAGCCAUGCCGCGUGUAUGAAGAAGGCCUUCGGGUUGUAAAGUACUUUCAGCGGGGAGGAAGGCGAUGUGGUUAAUAACCGCGUCGAUUGACGUUACCCGCAGAAGAAGCACCGGCUAACUCCGUGCCAGCAGCCGCGGUAAUACGGAGGGUGCAAGCGUUAAUCGGAAUUACUGGGCGUUAAAGCGCACGCAGGCGGUCUGUUAAGUCAGAUGUGAAAUCCCCGGGCUUAACCUGGGAACUGCAUUUUGAAACUGGCAGGCUUGAGUCUCGUAGAGGGGGUAGAAUUCCAGGUGUAGCGGUGAAAUGCGUAGAGAUCUGGAGGAAUACCGGUGGCGAAGGCGGCCCCUGGACGAAGACUGACGCUCAGGGU